UACAGAGGUCUCAAGCGUUGUUCGGAUUCAUUGGGCGUAAAGGGUGCGUAGGUGGCGCCAUAAGUCAGGUGUGAAAUCUCGGGGCUCAACUCCGAAACUGCACUUGAUACUGUGGUGCUCGAGUACUGGAGAGGAGAUUGGAAUUUACGGUGUAGCAGUGAAAUGCGUAGAGAUCGGAAAGAACACCAACGGCGAAAGCACUCUGCUGGGCCGACACUGACACUGAGAGACGAAAGCUAGGGGAGCGAAUGGG
rnacentral:rRNA from 1 species